UGAAAGUUGCUGUAUUUGAAGAAAGCAUAGGCUCUGCCAUAAAAAUUAAUUAGCAAUGCCGGAAGUAGCUUAACUUACUUACAGGUCCAUGCAAGAUUCCUCAUUCUAUCAAUGUGAUACUUAUUCUCAAUAUGUUGCUUCAUGUGUGGGCGACACAACGUGGUGACGUGGAACGCGUGUGGCCGUUUGACUUCACACGUUGAUAUCACGAAGAAAAUUGAUUUUUUACCAUAAAACGAAUCGGCAAUAUAGGAGUUGCAUUUGCAGUUGAUCCCGUCUAAGGGUCUUUUAAUGAAUAAUCUUGGAGUAUUUGGCGGAUGCAGAGUGCUCUUUGACUCUUCGAAAGUACCUAGGAAAAUGCAUCGCAUCUGAUGUUCAACCUUAUAAAUCAGAUACCAUUGAUCUUUCUUUUGCUGGGUGCAAAAGGUGCUAGCUAACAGAAACAGCAAAACAGGGGAAAAGCAAAAAGGGAAAAGAUCCUUGCCGGAUCAUUUUCUUAGGGAUUUCAUAAUUAUGAUCGUUCAUUGUACAUCAUAUGAUCAGAAAUCAUUUUAAAUUUAAAAAUUAAAUUAAAUAGUACCUAACAAAAAUUAACCGCAUGAUGUACGAUGAACGGUUACGAUCACAAAAUCUAUAAGAAAAGGAUCCGGUGAGGAUGACAAAGUGAGAAAGAGCAAAACAGGGGAAAAGAAAAACAAGAAGGCAAAAGCAGUGGAGAAGGAAGCGUUAAUUAGGCGGAGCAGGGAGUCCUCUCUCUUCCCUCUGUUUUCCUUUUCCUGUCCAACUCCAACUCUUUUUCUUGUAUAUAUUUGCUACAAUUGAUUAACUAACAACCUUAGAAUUAAUUAAUUUUCUACAAAGUUGAUUUUUAUUGAGUAAUUUAUAAUUCUGAACAAUUUUUAUCAUAAACUAAAAUUGUGAAUCAAUCAUGAAGUGUUUUUUUUUAUUUUAUUUUAUUUUAUUUUAUUUUAUGAGGAACUCCUCAACUUUGAGGUGCCAAACAUACCUCUUUGCCUUUUUGUCGUACUGUAUACAAAGUGUAGUGAGCCCAAUUUAUUCGGCCUUCCAAAAGGAAAGGCCACUAAUAUUUGACAUAUUUUUUUGUUCAUAUUCAUUAAAAAGUGAGAUGUCUUUUUUUUUUUUUUUUUUUUUUUUGUUGAUAAAAAGAGAGACGUCAACUGUGUGAGUAGUGUCGGUUUUGGUUUCGACCCAAGUCUUUUCCGUUGAAUUAGAUCUAUCCUUAAUAGAAUAGUUCAAUUUAAACUACAGCAGAAAUAAGAUAGGAAAAGGGAGAAAUAUAUUUCCCAAUAGAGAAUGAUGGGAUAUAAACAUAAAUGAUUCCAUUUUUCAGGGGACAUAUCUGACAAUCACACGAAUAACAACCCAAACAUUGUUGAGACAGAGCCAGAGAAUGAUGCCGUAGAAGAAUUGCUCAAUGAAGUUGCAAUUUACAAAGAAAAAGAGACAGUAUUCAAUGGUAAAACAGAACAAAAGUAGUCUAUAUACAAUAAAAUGAAGAAGAAUAAAAAAAUGCGUAGAAGUAUGCUACUUUAAAGGAGCAAUGCUGCUGCAACUGAAGUAUGAAUUGGCAAAUGAUUGUGCAGAUGAUGAUGAUGCAAAGCCUGUGAUUUCUGAGUUGAGGACGGCUGUUCAGCAGGAGCUGACAAUGCAUGAUUCAUUUGUGAUGGAAUGGGGUUUACAGGGUGCUAAAGAGGCCCCUAUCAACUCUGCAGCCGUGAAGUACACAGAUUUCUUAUUGACAACAACCUCUGUCAAAGUUGAAGGAGUCAAAGGUCCUGGUAAAAUCACAACUCCAUUUGAAAGAACCAAAGUUGCUUUAUCACAGAUGCUGGGAUUUUGCAAGAUGUACCAGUGCAAUCUUGGACAGAAGAAUGAUCAAGAAAGUGCUGCAGCCACGGAAGCCUUAGUUAAUGGCAAAACCACUCCAAAGAUGAUGCUACAUGGGAACUAUACCAUGAACUGAAGCUUAAGUUUCCAGAAAUUGUGAACCUUUAAUACAUUCUUGUGUUUGUGUUGUUCCUGGUUUUAUUGCUGG